CGCGUUGUCUCAAGGACACGCCCGCAAUAUAAAUAUUCAUACAGGCGCCACCCAGUGGAAAAAAAUAUCAAAGGAACUAAAUAUACUGUAACACCGGUAAACGCGAUGGCGGCAACCGGCAUUCAGACACAAACAUACCACGUCAUACACUGCCUAUUACAAAAUGAACAAGAUAUUAAUAUGUUGGAGACUGAUGGUCCUGAAGAUGAGAACUCAUUUGACCCUGUAAAAAUAGCAUCUAAACUCAGGGAACUGGGUGACGAUUAUGAUGAGAAAGUGAUCCAGCCACUGAUGAAGAAUGUACAGAGAGCUGCAGCUGAUCAGGUGAGUCCAAAUGGUCCUUCUUCAGACACUGACCAACUAAUCUGAAGAAUGUUUGUAUCACUUUGUGAACAUUUUAUCAGUGCAACUUUGUUCCUGGUCCACUCGUAAUUACAGGCAAUAACUGUACAGGCUGCUGUUAAGCAGUGCAGUUGAUAUCUGCACGUUUCGUUUUCUUCUCUGAACCUAGUAAAAGUGAAACUUCUUGAGCAGCCUCAAAAAGUAUGCAGUAUUUCCUCUUUGGGACUGAUAGCUAAGCCUUUUUGCUUUAAUUGCAUGGCAACCACAUGAUUUAACCACAUUUGACAGUUGACAUCUGUAGUCUCUGACAUGUGUCUGUCCUCUAGGUGGUGACUGUGUUCAGUGAUAGCGUGGACAGUCUGUGUAAGAUGUGGGCUGUGGAAAGAGCAGAAGUGGCCUCAGAGAAGCAGCUCCUCAAGGCUGCCAUCACACUGGGACUCUUUAUGAAGAAAAAAUGCCCUGCCAUGACGAAUGUAGUUGAGGUCGCUAUGAUGGGAUUCGUCAACAAUCGUCUAACAAACUGGAUUUCAGAGCAAGGGGGCUGGGUAAGGAUAGUUCAUCAGAUUUGCUUUAAUCGCUUCUUUUAUGUAGUCCAAGACCAAGAGGCUUAGGUACAUCUUCAGAAGGAUUCGUCUGCUCACAUAGAGGUCACUUUCAAACCAAGCAGCUUUUCUAUUGGUCAGCGUGGCGAAUUCAUAUGACCAACUUGAACAUGAGUGAAAUCUGCACAGGGAACUUUUCGCCCUCAAGCGAAACUCCCAUCCGCACUGAUUACUAUUGAAAUGAAUGGAAUUUCACAGAGCAACGGUAAAUGUGACCCCAUAUUAAAAGUCUGUGAAUUUUAGUCUCGUUUUAGUCAAUUAAAUCUUAGUCACAUUUUAGUCAUGCAGUAUAAAGGUUGAUAAUUAAUUAAUUUGCUCAAAAUUAUAAUCAUGAUUACUUGACGUGAUUGUUGUCCUUUGAGAAACUGCAUCAUAAUUAAUGCACUUUCACAUAUAACCAUACACAUAGUUACUUUACCUUAUCU
ensembl:lncRNA